AGCGAACGCUGGCGGCAGGCCUAACACAUGCAAGUCGAACGAAGUCUUCGGACUUAGUGGCGGGCGGGUGAGUAACACGUGGGAACGUACCUUUUGGUUCGGAACAACUCAGGGAAACUUGAGCUAAUACCGGAUGAGCCCUUAGGGGGAAAGGUUUAUCGCCGAAAGAGCGGCCCGCGUUAGAUUAGCUAGUUGGUGAGGUAAAGGCUCACCAAGGCUACGAUCUAUAGCUGGUCUGAGAGGAUGAUCAGCCACACUGGGACUGAGACACGGCCCAGACUCCUACGGGAGGCAGCAGUGGGGAAUCUUGCGCAAUGGGCGAAAGCCUGACGCAGCCAUGCCGCGUGAAUGAUGAAGGUCUUAGGAUUGUAAAAUUCUUUUACCAGGGACGAUAAUGACGGUACCUGGAGAAAAAGCCCCGGCUAACUUCGUGCCAGCCGCCGCCGUAAUAC
rnacentral:rRNA from 1 species